CCUACGGGGGGCAGCAGUGGGGAAUAUUUGGCAAUGGGCGCAAGCCUGAUCCAGCAACGCCGCGUGAAGGAAGGAGGCUUUCGGGUUGUUAACUCCUUUUGACAGGGAAGAGCAGAAGACGGUACCUGCCGAAUAAGCCACGGCUAACUACGUGCCAGCAGCCGCGGUCAUACGUAGGUGGCAAGCGUUGUCCGGUUUUACUGGGUGUAAAGGGCGUGUAGCCGGGCUGGCAAGUCAGAUGUGAAAGCCGGGGGCUCAACCCCCGAACUGCAUUUGAAACUGUUGGUCUUGAGUAUCGGAGAGGCAGGCGGAAUUCCUGGUGUAGCGGUGAAAUGCGUAGAUAUUAGGAGGAACACCAGUGGCGAAGGCGGCCUGCUGGACGACAACUGACGGUGAGGCGCGAAAGCGUGGGGAGCGAACAGGAUUAGAUACCCGUGUAGUC
rnacentral:rRNA from 1 species